CAUCCACACAUCUAUCCAUCCAUCAACCUUAACACUAUUUGCUGUAAGUAGCAGCCUUAAAUUAAAGAUAUGGUGAAGUUAUAUGACAUUAUGGUUGAGAUACCACAAAUGAAGAUCGUGUGAAUAUGUGAGUUCACAGUUCACUGGUACAUGACUGCUUGGUGAUGAAACAUGUUUCUUACAUUGGCAGCAAGUAUGACAAACAUUCAUCAAGAUCUACAUGUUGCUUCCUGUCAAGCUGGAUGUUUUGAGGGCACAUAGUGUACCAGUAUCAUUUUAGCUCCUAUCAAUUCCAUCCUCAUAAUGUGUGCAGGAAGAAUGAUUUUUGUCUUCUUCUGUAUAAGUACAAAUUUUCCUAGUAUUACCGUCGUGGAUAUUAUCUGAACUGUAUGUGGAAGAAGGUAGUUUGGCAAAUUCAAUUAUUUUGUGUUGUUUUCCAAAUAUCACAGAUUGUUGUUUCACCAACAUUGUAAAUUAGUGCCAGAUUCUACUUAUCAGUGUUGCCUUCUUCAAGUUUGUGUAUUAUUUACAGUUUCUGCUGUAUCAUGAUAACAACACAUUUUUGCUUUUAAGACUGUGUGUAGCAAUAACAGAAACCAAAUGACUACAGUAUCCACCGCAACAGUACAGUCCAGCACUUGAUGUGUUUGAACAGCACAUCGUUUACUACACUCGUGUUGUAACAUGACAUCAUCCUUCCAGAUAGAAGAAAAAUUUUCAGCAUCCAGCAGCUAAAAAAAAGGAAGGAAGAAAGUUGGGAGAAAUAGGCCACAUAUAAUCCACUCGCAGCUAAUAGCCAGAUGCUAACUGUUCCACACAUACAAAGCUGGGCUGCUCCAGACAGCAAUUGGAAUCAGCAGUAUUCAUGCCCUAAUUGCUUCAAAGUUUAUCGCUGGAUGAUCUCAUUGCGCAGACAUAUGAGAUUAGAAUGUGGAAAAGAGGGAAACCUUUGUUGCUCCAUCUGCAGUCGUCGCUUCAAGCAUAAGCAUCACCUUGUUAAUCACUUAGGUGUUCACAGACGCAGGGAUUACAUGGCCAGUGGAAGCAGUUAACUGGUCUGAAAAUUGUGUGGAGGGCUCUGAUGAAAGAAUUGGUUUAGAGGCAAGAUUUGUGUGCAAUAACUGUGGAAAAUAUUAUCACCUGAAUACUUCUCUCCAACGCCAUCUGCGUGUAGAAUGUGGACAAGAAGGAAGACAUGCAUGUUUCUCAUGUGGUCGCAAAUUUAAGCAUAGGUUUACUCUCGCAACGCAUGUAAGAAGAAACAUCUGUGACAGAUUCAGGAACUUACAGUGAAAUAAGAGCAAUUUUGACUGUAAAAGGAUUUUACAGUGUGAUUGCAAGCAUUUCAAUAAAUCAAUAUCGCAUAUGAGGCAUUUUGUUGAGUCAGUUUGUGUGUUAUUUUCGUAGUUAAGCACAUCAUUUUACUUACCAUUGAUUGAGAGCAAAGUAUGCUGUAAAUAUAUAAAUUAAACCUUA